rnacentral:rRNA from 1 species
GACGAACGCUGGCGGCAGGCUUAACACAUGCAAGUCGAGCGGGGUGAUGGUGCUUGCACUAUCACUUAGCGGCGGACGGGUGAGUAAUGCUUAGGAAUCUGCCUAUUAGUGGGGGACAACAUCUCGAAAGGGAUGCUAAUACCGCAUACGUCCUACGGGAGAAAGCAGGGGAUCACUUGUGACCUUGCGCUAAUAGAUGAGCCUAAGUCGGAUUAGCCAGUUGGUGGGGUAAAGGCCUACCAAGGCGACGAUCUGUAGCGGGUCUGAGAGGAUGAUCCGCCACACUGGGACUGAGACACGGCCCAGACUCCUACGGGAGGCAGCAGUGGGGAAUAUUGGACAAUGGGGGGAACCCUGAUCCAGCCAUGCCGCGUGUGUGAAGAAGGCCUUAUGGUUGUAAAGCACUUUAAGCGAGGAGGAGGCUCUUUUGGUUAAUACCCAAGAUGAGUGGACGUUACUCGCAGAAUAAGCACCGGCUAACUCUGUGCCAGCCGCCGCCGUAA